UACGUAGCCGACCUGAGAGGGUGAUCGGCCACACUGGAACUGAGACACGGUCCAGACUCCUACGGGAGGCAGCAGUAGGGAAUCUUCCGCAAUGGGCGAAAGCCUGACGGAGCAACGCCGCGUGAGUGAUGAAGGUCUUCGGAUCGUAAAGCUCUGUUGUUAGGGAAGAACAAAUGUGUAAGUAACUGUGCACAUCUUGACGGUACCUAACCAGAAAGCCACGGCUAACUACGUGCCAGCAGCCGCGGUAAUACGUAGGUGGCAAGCGUUAUCCGGAAUUAUUGGGCGUAAAGCGCGCGUAGGCGGUUUUUUAAGUCUGAUGUGAAAGCCCACGGCUCAACCGUGGAGGGUCAUUGGAAACUGGAAAACUUGAGUGCAGAAGAGGAAAGUGGAAUUCCAUGUGUAGCGGUGAAAUGCGCAGAGAUAUGGAGGAACACCAGUGGCGAAGGCGGCUUUCUGGUCUGUAACUGACGCUGAUGUGCGAAAGCGUGGGGAUCAAACAGGAUUAGAUACCCUGGUAGUCCACGCCGUAAACGAUGAGUGCUAAGUGUUAGGGGGUUUCCGCCCCUUAGUGCUGCAGCUAACGCAUUAAGCACUCCGCCUGGGGAGUACGGUCGCAAGACUGAAACUCAAAGGAAUUGACGGGGACCCGCACAAGCGGUGGAGCAUGUGGUUUAAUUCGAAGCAACGCGAAGAACCUUACCAAAUCUUGACAUCUUUUGACCACUCUAGAGAUAGAGUUUUCCUCUUCGGAGGACAAAAUGACAGGUGGUGCAUGGUUGUCGUCAGCUCGUGUCGUGAGAUGUUGGGUUAAGUCCCGCAACGAGCGCAACCCUUGAGCUUAGUUGCCAUCAUUAAGUUGGGCACUCUAAGUUGACUGCCGGUGACAAACCGGAGGAAGGUGGGGAUGACGUCAAAUCAUCAUGCCCCUUAUGAUUUGGGCUACACACGUGCUACAAUGGACAAUACAAAGGGCAGCGAAACCGCGAGGUCAAGCAAAUCCCAUAAAGUUGUUCUCAGUUCGGAUUGUAGUCUGCAACUCGACUACAUGAAGCUGGAAUCGCUAGUAAUCGUAGAUCAGCAUGCUACGGUGAAUACGUUCCCGGGUCUUGUACACACCGCCCGUCACACCACGAGAGUUUGUAACACCCGAAGCCGGUGGAGUAACCAUUUGGAGCUAGCCGUCGAAGGGUGAG
rnacentral:rRNA from 1 species